rnacentral:lncRNA from 1 species
UAAUCUGCUAAACUGUGAGCCGCUACUACAGCAAAUCAAAGCACGUCUCUCCUCAUGGUCUGCGAAGUCUCUUUCCUUUGCUGGGAGGUUGCUGUUGAUUAAAACAGUUAUCACAGGCAUCACUACCUUCUGGUGCUCCUCCUUCAUGCUGCCAACAGCAUGUAUAAAAAGGAUCAACUCUUUGUGUGGAAUUUUCCUGUGGCAUGGAACAGCAGAAGGCCACCAUUCUGCAAGAGUUUCUUGGGAGACAGUUACACUUACCAAAGCGCAAGGUGGACUGGGUGUAAAGGACUUAUUAUCUUGGAACAGAGCCUGUAUUUUGAAGCUCAUAUGGCUCCUUUUCUUUAGACCCGACUCGGUGUGGGUUUGUUGGUUCAAAGAAGUGGUCCUCAAAGGCUCCCUUACUAACUACUGGACUGUCAAGCCGAGUGUGAAGUACUCCUGGUUAGCAAACAAACUGAUCAAAUCACGGGACCUAGUGUAUCCUCUGAUAAAAAGGAGGAUUGGAAAUGGACUCACAGCCAGCUUCUGGCACGAUAACUGGUCUCCGUUUGGAAACCUCACAACUUUCCUCGCUGCUUCCACUAGAAGACUAGGUAUUUCUAAGAAUGCGACAGUGGGCUCCCUUUUUAGUGACGAUCGGUGGCUGCUACCACCUGCAAGGACAUAAAACCAACUAUUACUCCAGGUUCAUCUCACAACACUUUUUCUUUCCCAAGAAGAAGAUGUCUAUGAAUGGGAGGUUAAUGGAAACAACUGCAAAAAGUUCAGUACUGGCAAUAUUUACACCUACAUUCAAGGACCGAAGUCAACGGUUCUAUGGUCCCCUGUAGUGUGGUACUCCUAUGGGAUACCAAGACAUAGUUUUCUCACCUGGUUAGUGAUGUUGGAUCGAUGCCCAACAAAAGAUCGAUACUGCGAUGGGGGAUAAAUGGAAUCGAUCCAGUUUGUCUCCUCUGCAACAGAUACCCUGAAUCGCGAGAUCAUCUCUUCUUUGAAUGCUCAUACAGUGGACAGACUUUAUCUUCAGUUGCGGAUCGUUGCCAGCUUCAAGCUCUCCCUGUUUGGAAUGACAACAUAUCUCAACUCCAAUUGAUCAGAGGGAACAAGGAUCUUCGCAAGCUCACUCUUAUUGCUUUCCAAGCCACGGUUUAUUGGUUGUGGAACGAACGAAACACACGACUUCAUCACCAAAGCUUCAGAUCAUCCACUACUCUCUUCAACUUGAUAGACAGGCAGAUUCGAAAUAGACUUCUAAGUUUCAGGCAGAUUCGAAAUAGACUUCUAAGUUUCAG